rnacentral:rRNA from 1 species
AUGGGCAAUUCCACGGCCAAAAAAAAGGGUUCCGCUAUAAUCCUUGAAGCGGUGGCCGAUCAAGAGACUUGGAUUUGGCAUGCAUUCUUUGGAAUGUCUGGAUCUUUGAAUGACAUCAAUGUUGUCAACCGGUCACCAUUGAUGAAUAAGAUUGCGAAUGGUGAGUUGCCACCGGUGCAGUUUGUAGCAAAUGGCCGUACAUACAACUAUGGUUAUUAUCUAGCGGAUGGCAUCUAUCCAAAGUGGUAA